CAGUAACGGCGAGUGAAGCGGCAACAGCUCAAAUUUGAAAUCUGGCCCCCAGGGCCCGAGUUGUAAUUUGCAGAGGAUGCUUUGGGCGAGGUGCCUUCCGAGUUCCCUGGAACGGGACGCCAUAGAGGGUGAGAGCCCCGUCUGGUCGGACACCGAGCCUGUGUAAAGCUCCUUCGACGAGUCGAGUAGUUUGGGAAUGCUGCUCAAAAUGGGAGGUAUAUGUCUUCUAAAGCUAAAUAUUGGCCAGAGACCGAUAGCGCACAAGUAGAGUGAUCGAAAGAUGAAAAGCACUUUGAAAAGAGGGUUAAAAAGUACGUGAAAUUGUUGAAAGGGAAGCGCCUAUGACCAGACUUGGGCCCGGUGAAUCAUCCAGCGUUCUCGCUGGUGCACUUUGCCGGGCACAGGCCAGCAUCAGUUUGGCGCGGGGGACAAAGGCUUCGGGAAUGUAGCUCCCUCGGGAGUGUUAUAGCCCGCUGCGCAAUGCCCUGCGCCGGACUGAGGUACGCGCAUCGCAAGGAUGCUGGCGUAAUGGUCAUCAGCGACCCGUCUUGAAACACGGACCAAGGAGUCGUCUUCGUAUGCGAGUGUUCGGGUGUCAAACCCCUACGCGUAAUGAAAGUGAACGCAGGUGAGAGCUUCGGCGCAUCAUCGACCGAUCCUGAUGUUCUCGGAUGGAUUUGAGUAAGAGCAUACGGGGCCGGACCCGAAAGAAGGUGAACUAUGCCUGUAUAGGGUGAAGCCAGAGGAAACUCUGGUGGAGGCUCGCAGCGGUUCUGACGUGCGAAUCGAUCGUCAAAUAUGGGCAUGGGGGCGAAAGACUAAUCGAACCUUCUAGUAGCUGGUUUC
rnacentral:rRNA from 1 species